GACGAACGCUGGCGGCGUGCUUAACACAUGCAAGUCGUACGGUAAGGCCCUUUCUGGGUUACACGAGUGGCUAACGGGUGAGUAACACGUGAGUAACCUACCCACCCCUUUCUGUUAACGCUAGUCAACUGGUGCUAAUACUUACUAUGUGUUCCUUCUGCAUGGUUGGGGUUGGUUAGCUCCGGCGGUUGUGGAUGGACUCGCGGCCUCUUAUCUUGUUGGUGGGGUAGUGGGCUACCAACGCGGCGAAGGGUAGCCGGCCUGAGAGGGUGACCGGCCACAAUGGGACUGAGAUACGGCCCAGACUCCUACGGGAGGGAGCAGGGGGGAAUAUUGCACAAUGGGCGCAAGCCUGAUGCAGCAAAGCCGCGUGGGGGAUGACGGCCUUCGGGUUGUAAACCGCUUUCAGCAGGGACAAAGCUGUUUGUGACGGUACCUGCAGAAGAAGCACCGGCUAACUACGUG
rnacentral:rRNA from 1 species